UCGAACGAGAAAGCGGCGGCAACUCCGCGAGUAAAGUGGCGACCGGGUGAGUAACACGUGACUAACCUGCCCUCGAGCGGGGGAUAACCCCGGGAAACCGGGGCUAAUACCGCAUAACACCCUCGAUACGAAGGUCUUGAGGAUCAAAGGAGCAAUUCACUUGAGGAGGGGGUCGCGGCCGAUUAGCUAGUUGGUGGGGUAAUGGCCCACCAAGGCUGAGAUCGGUAGCCGGCCUGAGAGGGCGCACGGCCACACUGGAACUGAAACACGGUCCAGACUCCUACGGGAGGCAGCAGUGGGGAAUUUUGCGCAAUGGGGGGAACCCUGACGCAGCAACGCCGCGUGGAGGAUGAAGUCCCUUGGGACGUAAACUCCUUUCCGACCGGGAAGAUAAUGACGGUACCGGAAGAAGAAGCACCGGCUAACUCUGUGCCAGCAGCCGCGGUAAUACAGAGGGUGCGAGCGUNGUUCGGAAUUAUUGGGCGUA
rnacentral:rRNA from 1 species